rnacentral:rRNA from 1 species
GACGAACCGUGCGAACGUUGUUCGGAAUCACUGGGCUUAAAGGGCGCGUAGGCGGGCUGACAAGUCUGGGGUGAAAUGCCGCGGCUCAACCGUGGAACUGCCUUAGAUACUGUCGGCCUCGAGGAAGGUAGGGGCAUGCGGAACUGUAGGUGGAGCGGUGAAAUGCGUUGAUAUCUACAGGAACUCCGCUGGCGAAAGCGGCGUGCUGGACCUCUUCUGACGCUGAGGCGCGAAAGCUAGGGGAGCAAACGGG